UACGAAGGGGGCUAGCGUUGUUCGGAAUUACUGGGCGUAAAGGGCGCGUAGGCGGCUUCGCUAGUCGGGCGUGAAAGGCCUGGGCUCAACCCGGGAACUGCGCUCGAUACUUCGAGGCUAGAGUGUGGGAGAGGAUGGUGGAAUUCCCAGUGUAGAGGUGAAAUUCGUAGAUAUUGGGAAGAACACCGGUGGCGAAGGCGGCCAUCUGGACCACUACUGACGCUGAGGCGCGAAAGCGUGGGGAGCAAACAGG
rnacentral:rRNA from 1 species